AACCUUUACUGUAGCUUUGCAUUGGACUUUGAAGUCACUUGUGUAGGAUAGGUGGGAGGCUUUGAAGCAGAGACGCCAGUCUCUGUGGAGCCGUCCUUGAAAUACCACCCUGGUGUCUUUGAGGUUCUAACCUAGACCCGUCAUCCGGGUCGGGGACCGUGCAUGGUAGGCAGUUUGACUGGGGCGGUCUCCUCCCAAAGCGUAACGGAGGAGUUCGAAGGUU
rnacentral:rRNA from 1 species